rnacentral:rRNA from 1 species
UACGGAGGGUGCAAACGUUGCUCGGAAUUAUUGGGCGUAAAGCGCACGUAGGCGGUUCGUUAUGUCGGAUGUGAAAGCCCCGGGCUUAACCCGGGAAGGGCAUCCGAAACUGGCGGGCUUGAGUACGGAAGAGGGUCUCGGAAUUCCCGGUGUAGAGGUGAAAUUCGUAGAUAUUGGGAAGAACACCGGUGGCGAAGGCGGCUCACUGGCUCAUUACUGACGCUCAGGCGCGAUAGCGUGGGGAUCAAACAGG